CCUACGGGAGGCAGCAGUGGGGAAUAUUGGACAAUGGGGGCAACCCUGAUCCAGCCAUGCCGCGUGUGUGAAGAAGGCCCUCGGGUUGUAAAGCACUUUCAGUGAGGAAGAACGCCUGGUGGUUAAUACCCAUCAGGAAAGACAUCACUCACAGAAGAAGCACCGGCUAACUCCGUGCCAGCAGCCGCGGUAAUACGGAGGGUGCGAGCGUUAAUCGGAAUUACUGGGCGUAAAGCGCGCGUAGGUGGCUUGAUAAGCCGGUUGUGAAAGCCCCGGGCUCAACCUGGGAACGGCAUCCGGAACUGUCAAGCUAGAGUGCAGGAGAGGAAGGUAGAAUUCCCGGUGUAGCGGUGAAAUGCGUAGAGAUCGGGAGGAAUACCAGUGGCGAAGGCGGCCUUCUGGACUGACACUGACACUGAGGUGCGAAAGCGUGGGUAGCAAACAGGAUUAGAUACCCUGGUGUC
rnacentral:rRNA from 1 species